CUCAUCUGUGAUCAGGUGCAAAGAAGAAGGAAUUUUGCAUAUCUUACCAUUUGAACUACACAAUACUUUAAGGGAAAGAUAUCAACUACAAUGCUUCAAAGACACAAUGCUUCAAGGCAAAGAUCAAGACUGAAAAACCAACUCUGAGAUAACCAACUUUACUGGAAUGACCUAAUCGAAGAUACCAACUUUACUGGAAUUACCUCAAGUUGAGAAAACCAGAAGGAACAACCUCUAAUUAAAGACUGAGCAUGGAACAACCCCAAUGCUGAACAAAGACUUGAAAUCCCUAUAAAAGUGAGAUGCAGACAAGCCAUGAUGGGGAAUCCACUCUCUGCAACCUCAUGGAGCGCAGGCAUGCAUAUGCCUGUAUACCCCCACUCAUAUCCUCAAUAAGCCUGGACCCAGCUAUCCAGUGCUAGUAUUGAGUAAGAUCUGCAGGCACAAUCCUGCACUGCUGAAACUUUGCCAAUCAUUGAAUUAAGCAACGGGCAUAGAUGGGCUCUCCAGUAGAAUUACUUUUGGGAGAAACUGCUAAACUUUCUCCAGACUCAGGAGGACUAUGCAUAUCUGCAAGAUAAAAUAUGAACUUUAUUUUAACAUUAUUUUUACCCUGCACUUCACAGACAUAGAGCAUAAUCAACUGACUGUGUGGAAGAAGAGUUUUGCCUUAAGAAACAAAAUCUGUUUUAUAAGCAAAAAUGUGUCCCAUUUACAUCAAUGGAAAUUUUUCUUGCAUAGAGAAUAUAGAAUUAGGCCUUCUGCAAGGUAUGUCAUCAGGCAAUGUAAUGAUUAAAGCCAAACUAGUGAAUGUA